AGAGUUUGAUCCUGGCUCAGAUUGAACGCUGGCGGCAUGCUUUACACAUGCAAGUCGAACGGUAACAGGCCGCAAGGUGCUGACGAGUGGCGAACGGGUGAGUAAUGCAUCGGAACGUGCCCAGUCGUGGGGGAUAACGCAGCGAAAGCUGCGCUAAUACCGCAUACGAUCUAUGGAUGAAAGCGGGGGACCGUAAGGCCUCGCGCGAUUGGAGCGGCCGAUGUCAAAUUAGGUAGUUGGUGGGGUAAAGGCUCACCAAGCCAACGAUCUGUAGCUGGUCUGAGAGGACGACCACCCACACUGGGACUGAGACACGGCCCACACUCCUACGGGAGGCAGCAGUGGGGAAUUUUGGACAAUGGGCGCAAGCCUGAUCCAGCAAUGCCGCGUGCAAGAAGAAGGCCUUCGGGUUGUAAUCUGUUUUUGUACGGAACAAAAAGGCUCUGGUUAAUACCUGGGGCUCAUGACGGUACCGUAAGAAUAAGCACCGGCUAACUACGUGCCAGCAGCCGCGGUAAUACGUAGGGUGCAAGCGUUAAUCGGAAUUACUGGGCGUAAAGCGUGCGCAGGCUGGUUUUUGUUAAAAACAGGCGUGAACAUCCCCCGGGCUCAACCUGAGAAUUGCGCUUGUGACUGCAAGGGCUGGAGUGCGGCAGAAAGGGGGAAUGGAACUUCCCGCGUGGGUACAAUUGAAAUGCCGUAAAUAUUGGGCGGAAGAACCCCCGGUUGGGCGAAAGGUCACUCCCCUGGGGCCUGCACUGACGCUCAUGCACGAAAGCGUGGGGGAGCAAAACAAGGAUUAGAUACCCCUGGUAGUCCCACGCCCUAAACGAUGUCCAACUGUUGGUUUGGUUGGGGUCCUCUUCUGACUCAGUACGACGCUAACCGCGUGUAGGUCGACCGCCCUGGGGGAGUACGGCCCGCUAGGUGAAUCUCGAGUAAGUGACGGCACCGCCAACCGGAUGCUAUAGAGAAAUAAUGGUGAUUCUAAAAUUUCCGCAUG
rnacentral:rRNA from 1 species